GCCUUUGAUCCCAGCAUCAGGCAGCAAGACAAAAGGAUUACAAUUUGGAGGCUGUGAGUCCCUGUUUCAGAAAAGAACGAAAACUAACAAGUACGCUAACAACUCAAUGAUUAAACGACCGUGCAACUUAACAGUGGACAGAGGAAAGUACAUCCAGUGGUGGACACAGCAGGGGCAGAGGCUCAAGUUCACCUCCAGCUAUGUGGAAAAAGCCUGCCUUGAUAUUCAAACGAUCAGGUAAUUUUAAGUUCCAGAUAAAAUCCACUUAUCACCUGGCACAGUCUGUCAAUAUUUUCUUCGGUUGGCAUCACAAAGUACACUGCAGGAACAUCUGGAAUCGGAUCUCGGUCUGAGUGCAAAAGGCUGGAAAACAGAAAGAACAACAGCAACUCAUUUUUCCCCUUAGCUCUAAGAAGAAGCCCACAGUUCCCACUAAAGAAGCCUUACCUUCCAUACUGGUUCUCCAGUACUGUUUUUAACAUGAGGCACAUUGAAAUUCAACAUCCG
rnacentral:lncRNA from 1 species